UAUUUUGGUGUAAAAUUGUGCUGCGUUCCAGACCGUUUUUAGCCCGUAAGUUACGACUUCAAGUCACAACUCACGACUUGGUAACGUCCCAGGCAAAGUCACGACAAACCCUUCUAGCUGGCCUUAGCUAGCAGCUACCAAACGUUGGCGUUAGCUAGCGCUAGCUGA